GCUUAGCAUGAAGUGAAGCACAUACACCUGCUGAGUUUAAGCAUAUAAGUAAGUGGUGGAAAUUAAACCAAAUGGGAUAUCUUUAGUAAUUACGAAUGAACAAGGAUAUGCUUAGCUUGACAAAUGGAGCUAUUGGCUUUGAAUUGUAUUGUGGAAAUGUAUUACCAACAGAGGUGCAGGUGCCAGCAUAUUGAAAUAGAGCGUCAAUGAGGGUGAGAAUCCUGUUUGCCAUGUGCAGCCCUUUGUGCACGGUGUAUAUUUGCUGAGUCACACUCCUUGGCAUUGGAAUGCAAAGUGGGUGGUAAGUUUCAUGUAAAGGUAAACAUGCAACUGAGACUGAUAGCACACAAGUGCCAUGAGGGAAAUAUGAAAAAGGUUUUUGAAAAGAUAAUAAAAUGAGUUUGUAUUUGCUGAACACAAAGUAAACAGACUUGAUUUGCUUGGUGGGAGUGUUGCACUUGCUUGACAAGAGCUUUGGGCUGUGUGUGUAAUGAUUCGUUCUUUGCAUGCCAGUUUCUAUGUUAACAUCUGAUUACCUUUGCACAUGAAUGAUAAGUCUCCUGUGGGGGGUGUAUUGCAUGUGCAUGUAAUGAUGUGUGUUUUGAUAAAUGUGUAUGGUGUAUGUGUUUGUGUUCAUGUGAUUGGGGAUGCUUCCUUCCUUGGACUUACAAGCCCUGACACACACAUGCUGGCAAAAUGAUUAUGCUUGACCCGUCUUGAAACACGGACCAAGGAGUCUAACAUAUGUGCAAAGUUUUGAAGGUGGUAUACCUGUGUGUGCAAUGAUAGUGUCAGCUGGGAUAUGUGCACCAGCACCCAUUUAAUGAGCGGACUGAGGUUUGAGUUGGAGCAUAUCUAUUAGGACCCGAAAGAUGGCGAACUAUGCCUGAACAGAAUGAAUUCAGAGGAAACUCUGAUGGAGGUUCGUAUCGAUACUGACGUGCAAAUCGUUCGU
rnacentral:rRNA from 1 species